rnacentral:rRNA from 1 species
UACGAAGGGGGCUAGCGUUGUUCGGAAUCACUGGGCGUAAAGCGCACGUAGGCGGAUUGUUAAGUCGGGGGUGAAAUCCUGAGGCUCAACCUCAGAACUGCCUUCGAUACUGGCAAUCUCGAGUCCGGAAGAGGUUGGUGGAACAGCUAGUGUAGAGGUGAAAUUCGUAGAUAUUAGCUAGAACACCAGUGGCGAAGGCGGCCAACUGGUCCGGUACCGACGCUGAGGUGCGAAAGCGUGGGGAGCAAACAGG